AACGAACGCUGGCGGCAUGCCUAACACAUGCAAGUCGAACGAGACCUUCGGGUCUAGUGGCGCACGGGUGCGUAACGCGUGGGAAUCUGCCCUUUGCUACGGAAUAACUCAGAGAAAUUUGUGCUAAUACCGUAUAAUGUCGCAAGACCAAAGAUUUAUCGGCAAAGGAUGAGCCCGCGUAGGAUUAGCUUGUUGGUGAGGUAAAGGCUCACCAAGGCGACGAUCCUUAGCUGGUCUGAGAGGAUGAUCAGCCACACUGGGACUGAGACACGGCCCAGACUCCUACGGGAGGCAGCAGUGGGGAAUAUUGGACAAUGGGCGAAAGCCUGAUCCAGCAAUGCCGCGUGAGUGAUGAAGGCCUUAGGGUUGUAAAGCUCUUUUACCAGGGAUGAUAAUGACAGUACCUGGAGAAUAAGCUCCGGCUAACUCCGUG
rnacentral:rRNA from 1 species